rnacentral:rRNA from 1 species
UGGGGAAUAUUGCACAAUGGGCGCAAGCCUGAUGCAGCCAUGCCGCGUGUAUGAAGAAGGCCUUCGGGUUGUAAAGUACCUUCAGCGGGGAGGAAGGGAGUAAAGUUAAUACCUUUGCUCAUUGACGUUACCCGCAGAAGAAGCACCGGCUAACUCCGUGCCAGCAGCCGCGGUAAUACGGAGGGUGCAAGCGUUAAUCGGAAUUACUGGGCGUAAAGCGCACGCAGGCGGUUUGUUAAGUCAGAUGUGAAAUCCCCGGGCUCAACCUGGGAACUGCAUCUGAUACUGGCAAGCUUGAGUCUCGUAGAGGGGGGUAGAAUUCCAGGUGUAGCGGUGAAAUGCGUAGAGAUCUGGAGGAAUACCGGUAGCGAAGGCGGCCCCCUGGACAAAGACUGACGCUCAGGUGCGAAAGCGUGGGGAGCAAACAGG